rnacentral:misc_RNA from 1 species
GAUGAAGAACGUAGCGAAAUGCGAUAAGUAAUGUGAAUUGCAGAUUUCAGUGAAUCAUCGAAUCUUUGAACGCACAUUGCGCCCGCCAGCAUUCUGGCGGGCAUGCCUGUUCGAGCGUCAUUUCAACCCUCGAGCCCCCCCGGGGGCCUCGGUGUUGGGGGACGGCACACCAGCCGCCCCCGAAAUGCAGUGGCGACCCCGCCGCAGCCUCCCCUGCGUAGUAGCACACACCUCGCACCGGAGCGCGGAGGCGGUCACGCCGUAAAACGCCCAACUUUCUUAGAGUUGACCUCGGAUCAGGUAGGAAUACCCGCUGAACUUAAGCAUAUCAAUAAGCGGAGGA